GAAAGUAAAAAAGGGCGCAUGGCGGAUGCCUUGGCUCUCGGAGGCGAUGAAGGACGUGAUAAGCUGCGAUAAGCUUUGGGGAGGUGCAAAUGACCUUUGAUCCAGAGAUUUCCGAAUGGGACAACCCAAUAUCUUGAAGAGGUAUUAUCCAACGUUGUUGGAGGCUAACGCAGGGAACUGAAACAUCUUAGUACCUGCAGGAAAAGAAAAUAAACAAUGAUUCCCCCAGUAGUGGCGAGCGAACGGGGAACAGCCCAAACCAUCCAUGUUACGGCAUGGGUGGGGUUGUAGGACUACGCCGUUGCAUGAAGACAUCAGAGAAGAACUUUCUGGAAAGAAAGACCAUAGAGCAUGACAGUUGCGUAUUCGAAUGUUGUCGAAGCAUAGUAGUAUCCUGAGUAGCGCGGAGCACGAGGAAUUCUGCGUGAAUCUGCCGGGACCAUCCGGUAAGGCUAAAUACUCCCGAGAGACCGAUAGCGAACCAGUACCGUGAGGGAAAGGUGAAAAGCACUUCGAACAGAAGAGUGAAAUAGUUCCUGAAACCGUGCGCCUACAAGCGGUCGGAGCUCGUUGAUGAGUGACGGCGUGCCUUUUGCAUAAUGAACCUACGAGUUGCCUUUGCCGGCAAGGUUAAGUGUGACGACACACGUAUCCGAAGCGAAAGCGAGUCUGAACAGGGCGUAUAGUCGGCAGUGGCAGACGCGAAACCAAGUGAUCUACCCUUGGCCAGGUUGAAGGCUGGGUAACACCAGCUGGAGGACCGCACCAAUAAGCGUUGAAAAGCUUCUGGAUGAGCUGAGGGUAGGGGUGAAAGGCUAAUCAAACUUGGAGAUAGCUCGUACUCCCCGAAAUGCAUUUAGGUGCAGCCUUGCGGGUUACUGAUGUGAGGUAGAGCGACUGAUAAGAUGCGAGGGCUUCACCGCCUAUCAAGUCUUGACAAACUCCGAAUGCGCAUCAGUUCUACCGCAGGAGUGAGGGCAUGGGUGCUAAGGUCCGUGCCCGAGAGGAGAAGAAUCCGGACCACCUGCUAAGGUCCCGAAAUGACAGCUAAGUUAAACUAACGAAGUCUGACUGCUAAGACAGCUAGGAUGUUGGCUUGGAAGCAGCCAUUCAUUUAAAGAGUGCGUAACAGCUCACUAGUCGAGGAGUCGGGCGUGGAUAAUAAUCGGGUAUCAAGUUGUCUACCGAAGCAGUGGGAUCAUUUAUAUGAUCGGUAGGGGAGCAUUCCAGUCAGCGUCGAAGGCGUACCGUGAGGUAUUCUGGAGCGUCUGGAAAAGCAAAUGUAGGUAUAAGUAACGAUAAAGGGGGCGGGAAACCCCCUCGCCGAAAGACUAAGGUUUCCUGAUCAACGCUAAUCGGAUCAGGGUCAGUCGGGUCCUAAGGCUCAGCCGAACGGCGAUGCCGAUGGCAGAAACGGUUAAUAUUCCGUUACUACCUUCAGGAGUGACGUGGAGACGCAGUAGUGACAGUGCCGCCAUCUGACGGAAUAGAUGGUUGAAGGGUGUAGGAGUCGAUCAUGGCAGGCAAAUCCACCAUGAGAUCCGAACCUGACAGUAUGCCGCGUCCUUCGGGACAAGGCAAUAGUGCGCGUAAGCAUGCUGCCGAGAAAAUCCGCUAAACUUAAUCCUGCAGGUACCCGUACCGCAAACGGACACACGUAGUCGGGAUGAAUAUUCUAAGGCGCUUGAGUGAUUCACGGUUAAGGAACUAGGCAAACUGACCCUGUAACUUCGGGAUAAAGGGUCCCUACCCUUUUAUGGGAGGGCGCAGAGAAUCGGUCCAGGCAACUGUUUAACAAAAACACAGGGCUGUGCCAAAUCGAAAGAUCCAGUAUACAGCCUGACACCUGCCCGGUGCUGGAAGGUUAAGAGGAGAUGUCAUCGAUAAGAGAAGCGUUGAAUUGAAGCCCCAGUAAACGGCGGCCGUAACUAUAACGGUCCUAAGGUAGCGAAAUUCCUUGUCGGGUAAGUUC
rnacentral:rRNA from 1 species